rnacentral:sRNA from 1 species
CCUUUGUAUGGGCAUCAUCCUUAUAUUGUCUGCAAGGAGCACUCAGGAAAUAGAGAUUAAUUACACAAGAAUAUGUGCAAAUUGUGCAAAACUGCAAGAAAAUGCCUCUAAUUUUGACAAGGAAUGCACCUGCUCUAUUCCCUUUUACCUUUCAGGAAAAAUGAUGGUAGGUGAAAUUCAAGAAACUCAGUUGACUUUACACUGAUCUAUUCCAAUGUAACACUUAGCAGUAAGUUCACGAUUUCCAUGAAAUGCUUUCCAAAACUGAAAAUAUGAAACAUAAAGCAGGAUGGUGGUGGUGAAUCCGAAA